rnacentral:lncRNA from 1 species
UCUGAAGGCUAUUAAUUUGUUCCUUGCUGGCAGAGAUUUCUGUUUUUCUUUUUCUUUCCUUCUACGAUGACCAUGAAGCUGAUCAGUACGAGAUAAUGGUCAUUUCUUCAAAAUGACAGCUUACUUUAAUCUGUCUUUCCGACCCUUGUGGAGACAUCCUGGGAUGUAUCUGCCCUUCCCAAGGAGCUCUCUCACCACAGGAAAAUAAGCAGGGCUAUAGCAGGCUCGGAACAGCACCCCAGAGGCAAUUUAUUCAUUGCGCCAGGUCUACCUUUCUGCAUGGACAAUACUCAGACUGCAUAAGUAUGUCCCAACAUUUUAAGCAGCCACAACUGCCAUUACUUCUGCCCACAAGGGAGAGAGCAGUGGUGAAGGCGCAUGGAAAGGCUAUCUCUGCCUGCAGUGUGAGGCUGCAGACUGAUCCGAUAACAUAACACCAUGGAUUCUGUAUCCACGAGGCUGCCCAAAUCCUGGAAGAAGCCAAUGGAAGGGAUGUUCCUUUGUCACCUGGGGACACUUCUGACUCUAUGAAAACAAAC